rnacentral:miRNA from 1 species
AUCCCCAAUCCUGCGUGU